CAACCACUUCUUCUGUGAUGUGGUUCCCCUGCUUAACCUCUCCAUGAAGAUCAGUGAGUUUUGUGCAUGUUACGCCAAGCAGUUUCAAUGGGAGAGCAUCUUCAGGGAUUUCAAGGUCCCAGUAUUUCUGUAUAUGAAUAAAAUACCUGCAUCAUCUUAAAAACGUUUAUAUUCAGAGAAGGAGCUUGUGCAGGCUUGUACUUUGGCUUUCACCAGAAUCACUUUGAAUGUCUGCAGCUUUUACAGGAGAUCUGGUGAAGAAAAUAUAAUACUGUAGGAAGAAGCUGGGAGGACGUAUGGAUCAUUUUGCAUAUAUCAGGACUCAUCAAGCUGCACCUGCAAGAAAGUGAAGAGGCAGAGACAUCAUGCAGUUUGCUGUAGCUGUAAUGUUCAGUGACUCUUUAUCAGAAAGACAGAAUCAUUCAGUUGGAAGUGGGGGGAAGAAAGAUGGCACAGUUGUCAAUCUUCUGACAUAGAUUUAUCUGUCUCUAAAUUACAGCUGUACAAUAGUUAUACUGUGCGUCUCUCAGUGAGUUGCUUCAUUUUCUGUCUCAUUUUCUGAAUUACUAAAUGCUGACAAUACUGCUCAUUCUUUCAGUGGUAUUACAAAUACAAAAUCAUUAAAGCUUUUGAGU